GACGAACGCUGGCGGCGUGCUUAACACAUGCAAGUCGUACGGUAAGGCCCUUUCGGGGGUACACGAGUGGCGAACGGGUGAGUAACACGUGAGUAACCUGCCCACAACUUUGGGAUAACGCUAGGAAACUGGUGCUAAUACUGGAUAUGUGCUCCUGCUGCAUGGUGGGGGUUGGAAAGCUCCGGCGGUUGGGGAUGGACUCGCGGCUUAUCAGCUUGUUGGUGGGGUAGUGGCUUACCAAGGCUUUGACGGGUAGCCGGCCUGAGAGGGUGACCGGCCACAUUGGGACUGAGAUACGGCCCAGACUCCUACGGGAGGCAGCAGUGGGGAAUAUUGCACAAUGGGCGGAAGCCUGAUGCAGCAACGCCGCGUGCGGGAUGACGGCCUUCGGGUUGUAAACCGCUUUCGCCUGUGACGAAGCGUGAGUGACGGUAAUGGGUAAAGAAGCACCGGCUAACUACGUG
rnacentral:rRNA from 1 species